GACGAACGCUGGCGGCGUGCUUAACACAUGCAAGUCGAACGGAAAGGCCCUGCUUGCAGGGUACUCGAGUGGCGAACGGGUGAGUAACACGUGGGUGAUCUGCCCUGCACUUCGGGAUAAGCCUGGGAAACUGGGUCUAAUACCGGAUAGGGGCCAUUUUUAGUGUGGUGGUUGGAAAGUUUUUUCGGUGUAGGAUGAGCUCGCGGCCUAUCAGCUUGUUGGUGGGGUAAUGGCCUACCAAGGCGGCGACGGGUAGCCGGCCUGAGAGGGUGGACGGCCACAUUGGGACUGAGAUACGGCCCAGACUCCUACGGGAGGCAGCAGUGGGGAAUAUUGCACAAUGGGCGCAAGCCUGAUGCAGCGACGCCGCGUGGGGGAUGACGGCCUUCGGGUUGUAAACUCCUUUCGCUAGGGACGAAGCUUUUUGUGACGGUACCUAGAUAAGAAGCACCGGCUAACUACGUG
rnacentral:rRNA from 1 species